UGCAGCCAUCUGUGCUCUUAGACGCUUCCUUUAUGUACUUUGCAAUGGUAAAACUGGCUGCUGCAGUGGUCAUUCAGGCUCUUUUUUUCCCCAGUCAUUAUCCAGUGUGAGCUGCAGCAGUUUGAAUCUUCCUCCAACCCACUCAUUGCAUGUGUUAACGGUGGAGCUAGAGAGCCUGCUCCUAAAGCUGAGAGGAGAAAGCACUGUCUCAUUCACUCCAUGGCAGAACUGGCUCAUUUGCUGUAAAUGUGCAGCGGCUAAAGAGCAAGUGGGGAGUCUGCAGAAAUAGAAAGAAUCAGAAUUCAAUAGCGCUUCUGAAAUGCAUGUCAAAUUUAAAAGCUAUAAAGCUAGAAGAUUGUUUGGACUUCCCUUCAUGUAAAUAUGAAGUGAUGCUACUGUCUUUCCUGGAGCUUCUCCAUUAACCACAGCUAGAAUUCUGUCCUACUGAAAUAUAUUGUUGAUAGCUUGUUUAAUACAGCAAUAAAUGACUGUAAAUUGUGGCCCACUGGACCAAACUAGGUUAUACUCCUGUAGCCCUGUCAGUAUUUUCUACCAAAGAAAUAUAUGAUAAAUAAUUGGAUAGCAACAGGAUUUGUCUCAGUUGUUUACUCAGCAAGCAUUAGGGUGGCAGACCUGGCAACCCACCUCUUCAUCUUCUACAGAACAUGACUAGUGCCAGUUACAGCGUCAACAAAUGCCCCAAACCAACAGAGUGUCAUCGAGGUCCUGACCAAUCAAUCAUCUUACACAAUUUUUUAAUCAUUUUUUGAACAAAGAUGAAGAAUAUGAUCCUUAGAAAUUAGUUUGAGGAGUCAAGAAGGGGAGAUUUUUGUUUUAUUGUAUUUUCAUCCUAAGCUUGCAGGAGAGAAGGAUUACCUAAGUGGAGACCUGAAGGUGAUUUCCAUUUCCUCUCACCCCCUCACGCAUGUGUGACUUUUGGCAAACCAGCACGUUAUGAAAUCCAAACAUUCACCUGCAGGUAGAAAUCAGACUCUGUGUGUGCCACCGCUCACCCAUCUGCCUUACAGACCACAAAGCCUUGUUGCACGGGGCUGAGAGGAAUUGGGAGCUGUAAGAACAUCUUCGGUACUCCAGUUUGCAAGUGCAACCCAAGAAGCAUAUAAAAGAGUAAGUUUCGAGUCACUUUGAGUUCCUUCCAGAUUCUUUCAUGCCAUUUAGGCAAUAUUUAUCUCUAGAAUAAUUCUACUCACAGACACACAUGCUAAUAGCAUCACCAUCUUCAGAAAAUAUCCCUGUAGACUAGGGCAUUCUAGCACUGUUUUGCGUUUUGCAUAUUUGAGAUUUUUUUCAGGGGGAAGCAUGACAUUUUACUGAAAUUUAGAGAGAAACAAAUGACAAAAAAGUAGGCACUGGGCCAGACAAUAGCAAUAGAGUCAGUGUCAUAUUUUUUCAAGGAAGGUAGGUAUCGAACUUAGCUGUUAAGCUACAAAACAUGGCUACUAUAUUUAUCUUUUAAACAUAAGUAGGUUGGGAAGAUUUUCAAAAAAGGAAAGAAAGUCCUUGGAUCAUUCAACCUAGCUUUUCUUUUCCUGAUAAUUAACAGAUUACGAACACUUUAGGCAUAUGAAUACAUUUUGUACUCAGGGAGAGGUGCAUUUUCUUUAGUUCUACUUCACUGAUUGUUGUAUGAAGAUGCAACACACUAUAGUGCUGAUAAAAGACUGAAAUCUAUUUCCUCUCCUUAACCAACAAUCAUGUGUCAAAAAUCAUUAAGUUAAUUUUCCAUUAAAAAUAUCCUGCCCAUUAACUCCAGUUGUAAAUCAAACAAGAAACCGAUACAGACAUUAAAUUCUUAGAUAUCUCAAAUUAACCAUAUCAGUGCUACACUGUGCCCAUCUCUAAUGGAAGGAGGCAGAGUUCAGCAGUAGGCUCAGCAGCAAGAUUUCUUUGUGGUCUCGCAGCACCUUCAGGUGCCCCAAAAUAGUCACAAGGGCCAUGAUAGAUUGUAGGGCGCUGCAGGAAUCUUCAGGCCGCCAAAGCCAUGCUGGAGUCGCUUGGGCAAGGACAGCAGGAGAAAUAUGGAAACAUUUGUCCAUGUCCAGUUUAAAUCAGAUACAGCCUUUGGACAGAUACUAUCUUUCUGUCUGGUAUUUUACAAUAAGUCCAGUGUUCCUGCAGUUACAGCCGGAGCUCUUUGAUUAGUACCAGCAUGCAAGUGAUCAGUAUAAAAACAAUGCAGAUAUUGGAAAUACAGUAUGUAUAUGAUGUUUAAUCAGGUGUGAUGACAGAAGACAGAAGGAAUUUCAUACUGUUACCCAAUAGAUGCAAGCACACACUCCAGUAAAAGAAAUGUUUAAUUGGAGGUAAUUUUGCUUGAAAACCCCCAAAGCAGAUGAAUUAGCUGAUUAGUGUUUUGUGGCUAUUUUUAAGAAGAGCUGUGAUGAAGAAAUCUGAAUGAGCAGGAGAAGCUGUGAUGGUUUGAGUAGAACAUCCAACAAUACUAAAAGGCUAAGAGGGAUCAGAAGAAUCAAUAAAUUACUUUUCUUCUUCUCUGUCUGGCCUCCUCUGUUUGUGACUGCUACCUUCUCAGCUACUCUCUGGGUAACAGUAAUUGGAGCCAGGGGAUUGUUUGGUUCAAUGCCGAAAACAGGUUUUAGUAGCUAUAAAUACCGAUUAGUAGAUGACCCGUUAAAAAUCGAAGGGGCAUGUUAGAUUCUUUUGUUUUGGUAAAGGAAAUGUUUUCGUAAAAGAAACCCAUUAUAUAUAUAUGUAUAUGUUGAGUUUUUCAUAUAGUUAUCUGUUUUGGUGUGACUAGUUUUGAUGAAUGAAGUGUUUUCAGCAUAGCCAGCUAACUCGUCAGCUAUUUGCCCCAUUUGAGACUGGAAACUAUAUUCAUACUCCAAGAGAAACUUGCCCUGAAGAAACUGGCUAAACAUACAGCAUCAAGCCACAGACACUGUGUCCAAGGUGCUCUACUGUAUACGUAUCUCCUCUGGGGGAAGAUGAAAAAAGAAACGACACCAAAGGGAUAUGAAGUCAUACUGCUUAACAAGCAUUGGAAGGCACUCAAAGACUACAGUAAUUAUCAUGGUGGAAGGACCAACUUGACUAGUGUGGGACAGGGUCAAAAAUUAUACUCUCACCACAAAGGGUGUCACAAACAUUAAGAAGAUGUUUGUGUGGUUUUAGUUUUGUACACAAGGCUUGGCCCCACUGGAAAGGAUUAAAUAAAAAAAAAAGUCUAAACCCAAUUUUAGAGUGUUCCCUAAACCAAUAGCCAGGGAUGAAUAAACACGUCCUGCUGCUGAAAGCCUGAGCUGAGUAAUGUAUUGGGAUACACACAGACUCCAGACAGCAGUCCCCAGGCAGCUGAGUUGUGAUCACACGGACACGCUCAGUCCUGGAAGCGGGCGGGUGAAAUCAGUGACUCUGGUUGUUGCUCAUGGUAGCUCAGCACAUUCCCUGCUGACCUGGCUGAAAGAGUGCUUUUAUGAAACACAACUGAUUAAAGAAACAAAUGAUGUAAAAUGAAAUGUCAUCAUGGGUACAGGGUUUAGGGCUAUACAAACAACUGUGGAUUGAAAUCAUUAGACUCUCUCUGCUCUGGAAUGGUUCAGUAUUUUUAGAGGAUUAAAAUGCCU